CAGCCGCCGCGGUAAUACGUAGGGUGCAAGCGUUAAUCGGAAUUACUGGGCGUAAAGCGUGCGCAGGCGGUUAUAUAAGACAGAUGUGAAAUCCCCGGGCUCAACCUGGGAAAUGCAUUUGUGACUGUAUAGCUAGAGUACGGCAGAGGGGGAUGGAAUUCCGCGUGUAGCAGUGAAAUGCGUAGAUAUGCGGAGGAACACCGAUGGCGAAGGCAAUCCCCUGGGCCUGUACUGACGCUCAUGCACGAAAGCGUGGGGAGCAAACAGGAUUAGAUACCCGCGUAGUCCCUGUCUCUUAUAC
rnacentral:rRNA from 1 species